AGCAACUCUUGAAUGAGCGAUCCUGGCUGGAUGGUCCCGGGGUGUCUGUCAUACUCAAACUUCGGUAAGUAGAUCCACACCUGUAUGAGAAAACUCUAACCAACACUAUGUGAGACAAUAACACUCCCUACUGGACACAUGCAAGACAUGAUUGAAGCUAUUUUUGCAAAACGGCUUAUGUGGCCAAAAGGUGGCUAGAAGUGCAAACUCAAGAAAGGUGACCUCUAAGAUAUGGAAAAUUUACUUUGCAGAAAUGACCCAUUUUGUAGAAAUGGCCUAUGUGGAAAAAAAGAAGGCUUAGCAUGCAAGUUCAACACAAUGGACCUUAAACAGAGAGGACACCUUGUUGUGGAUUUAGGACUCUAGGACAUGGGUUAAUUGAACUGUUUUUGUGAAAAUAACCCUAUUUUGCAAAACGGCCUAUGUGGCCAAAAGUGGCUAGACAUGCAAAUUCGACAAGGACAUACCUUAAAGUAAAGAGACACCUAAUUGUGGAUUGAAGACUCUCCAGACACAAUUAAACAAACUACUUUGCGAAAAUAGCCCUAUUUUGCAAAAUGACCGAUGUGGCUAAAAGUGGCUAGACAUGCAAGAUUUGGCUAAGACCCCGCAAAGUCAGGAACUUAAGACUCACUAAGAAGACCGGACCCUAUGUGGGUUGCCUACGUAUCCCGCCCCGAGAGACGAGAAUCAAGUUCGCGUAGUUCGGGCAGAUUGGAUACAGGCGGGAAUUAAAAAAAAACAACUAAUUUAGAGAAAAUAUUUCUUUUUUGUCUUUUUCUUAAAAAAUGAUGAAACAUGUAAAAUCUUUUUGCAUUUUCUUUUUCUUUUCUUUUUUUUUUGAAAAAAUGAUGGGAAAGUGCAAAAUCUUUUUGGAUUUUUUCAUUUUCAUUCUUUUUUUGUUCUUUUUCUUAAAAAAUGUGAAAGAAAACAUAACUGGCCCCUACUUGUUUUAUUUUCACACUUCACCCUUUUUUUUUCUCAUUUACCCCCAGCCAUCAUUGGUCCGUCAAAUGACCCUUUUACCCUUGAAGAAAUGCAACGUGUAGCACAUAGGAUACAUCAGGAUCGUCUUUUAUUUUUGGGUAGACCUGUCCUAGACGGACCUAACCCCUGUAUUGAGUCCCCAAAGUCAAAUGAAUAUGAUGUAAUCAAGCGUUCUUACUAGGGAUCUAGCAUGAGGCUGGGUUAUUCUAGGUUCAAAACCCGGGUAUAUUGUUCUAGACUUGUGCAUCCGAGCGGACAAUUCGAGCCGGGGGGGGGGGGGCUACGUACCGGGAACCAAAAGGCCAUCCGGCUUUGUAACUUGUCCGAGCCUCUUUAUAAUUUAGGGUAUGACACUAACAGAAAAGAAGUCACGCCAGCGUGUACUUCCCCGAAGAUGAGAAGAGAAGGGUUUCGUAGCAGUUUAUACACAGUUCAAAUAAUAUCAAAGUGGUAAAAAGCGGUAUUUAGCACAUUAGGCCCAAACAUGUAAUAAAACCAGAUAAUAAAUAAAGCCAAAUAUAACAAUUAUUCUAAGCUCGAAUUCUUGAACCCUGAACCGGAGAUUCUGGGUUCUUGUCCCCAGUAGAGUCGCCAGAGCUGUCACACCUCCUUUUUCUACCACUCGAAAGCAGUAUAGGGGAGUUUUUUUCAAUUUAAGUGACAAUCAAAACGGGAUUAUUUAUUUAAUUUUCAAAGUCGCCACUUGGGAUAAUUUAUGGUGUCCCAAGUCACCAGUUUAAAAUUCCAAAUCGGGGAAAUUUGACUAUUAUUUAUGGUCCGCAAACACAAAAAUUCGGGUAUGGAAUUCUGUUAACCCGGGACAAGGUGUUAGGCAUUCCCGAGUUCCGUGAUUUUAGCAUGGUCGCUCAACUAUUAAUAUUGGCAUAUUUAUUUUAUUUAUACAACAUUCUUGAAACCUAUGUGCAUUUUUAAUCCUUUUAAACCACUUUUAAAAAUCACAUUGUUAUAUAACUAGAUAUUUGAUUACACGUCGCGAAUCAUGUCACGGGAACCGUACCCUCGAUCUACGACAUGUUUAUUUUAUUAACAAGAUUAAAUUGUGACCGGGUCACAUAAAUGUACCCCCGGAUUUUAGAAUUGUGUAUCACAACUACGUCACGAGAACCGUACCCGUAGCUAUGCUACUUUAUUUAGUUAACGUGCCUAAAGCAAACUACGAGAGUUCAAGGAAUUUUCUACACUAGUUAAGAUAUCGACGUAAGGGCCAUAGACUAGGUGAUUGAAUGACACACCUCAAUUUUAUUAAAGAAAAUGCAUUCAACUAAAUGAACUACGGAUACUCAUGUUUAAAACUAAUUACGUAUUACAACUAGGCUACGAGAACCGUACCCGCAAUUGCAAUGAUUUAAUUACGCACCAAAAAAUUUGUUUACCCAUGUGUUGUCGGCCUAAGCAUAUUCCUAGCUGUUAAAUUUAUGAGAAUACGAAUAAGAGAGCGACAUAAUUAUCUAAGCCUAAUUUCCUCACGUUAUUAACCCAGUCUCAAACGUAACUUCAAUUUACUCCAAGAUCAUCCUACGGUCUAAAUCAAUUUCAAGACCAAUCACUAAUACAAUUGUAGUAAUAUAUGCUUGUAAGGAAAUUACUGACUUCUUCAACCAAUUAGGCAUCAUCAAAGAAUUGUACCAAACUAGCUAAUAAUAAUGUAGAACAAAUGAAACUAACAGAUAUUUUCCAAAGAGAUUAAACACAAUUUCGUUCAAAUCGGGACAAGAGAAUGUCAUGAAAACGUGAAGAAGAUGUCAUCAUACUGGGUCUCUAAUGCCAAGUUCAUUGAGCUGUCACUUGAGUGCCAAGUUCAAUGGGUUCGGAACAGAAGUUGCUGCAAGAUUUGCUAAGUUUUUGUUUUAUGAUUACAUGAGAAAUGUGUACCCCUUUUCAUCAAUUGUAAUAAACCAGAACUUUGUGGUCAAUCAUCAUCCAAUUAAACUGUUUUAGUACAAUUUCUGAGGAGAAAAGAAGAUUGUGUAAACUUGGAGUGCAAAUUGUCAUCAUACUGAACAUUCCGGCCAUUUUCCCUUGAAUCAUGUAAUCCACAUUCAUUUUAAAAUCAGAUUUUUCAACUCAAGAUGUCACAAAUAGGCAUAAAAUUCACACAAGUCUGCCAUCCAAACAUCAUACAAGACAAAAUCAAUAAGUAAAGGGGUAAGAUGGUGACAGACCUGAGAUGUGCUUCUAAUUAAUGAAACUCUAAUAAUUACACGGAACGAGGCAACAAUUACAACCGAAAAUUGACACAGAUUCGAACGAAAUCAGCAAAAUCAAACCAGAACUUCGGACUUGAACCUGCAACAACAACCCCGGGCAGAAACUCAAAUUGGUGCAGUCGAACUCCAUUUGUUUCCGUUUCUUUUCCAAUUUUGACCUGAAGACCUUUCCAAAAUUUGUUCUUCUCUUCACUGUUUCUGUUCGUUUGUGCGUGUGUUUGAAUGUUGGAAAAUCAGAGUUUGAGGGUCUUUGAUUUUGAAAAAUUGGAGGCAGCAGUAGGCCUAGAGGAAGAGAUUUUUUGGCUGCCUCUUUCUUCUCUUAUGGUUCAUGGCCGAUUUUAUGUCUGGCCUUAGAGAUUAGGGUGGUGGUUCAGGAAAUUCUAAGGUGGCCUUUCAUUUGUGAGGAAGAUCAGAUGUUGAAGGAAAUGGGGUCCCUUUUUUGUGGGGGAGGGGUCUUUGGGUGUCAGCGGCCGAAGCUAAAGUCCCUUGGUCUAGGUUUAGGAAAUUAGGU
rnacentral:lncRNA from 1 species